GCUUUCUGUUGAGGCGGAGCCUGAGUCUGGGCGCAGGCGGGGGCUCUGCCCUGGGAGGCCGUCUGUUUAGGCCCGCACGCAGCUCCGCAUCUGGUGCUCAUUACUAGAUGACAAAGAGCCGGCUCUGGGCCCCCUUCCCCACACCCAUCCUCCCGCGGACUGCAGCGCAUUUAACUCUUUCUCUCCCUCAGGGUGCUGUCUACCCUCUGCCAGAGGUCAUGGGAAGGAGCUUCAGGCCUCCGUCCCAGCAGACGGUGUCAUUCCAUAAGUGGUGCCUCAGGCCCAAGCUUUCUGGAAAACCAGGGGACCUCCCUCCAUUCCAUCCAUCAAUCCCCCGCCCCCUCGACUGCGUCUCCGAGGUUAAGCUGGGAAGGAUCUGGCAGGGGCGUCUGGUUUAAGUUAGGGGAACGUGAGAGUGGCUACCCGGGCGGAGGCGUACCUACAACCCUAGGGUGGCUGCAUCCUUGGGUGACCCCGAUUCCUCGCCCAGACUUCUGGACAACCUAUGAUGAUGAGAAAGAGUGUUCAGGAAAAAGUUCAGAAAAACAGACUACUGGAGGAGACUCCUCUCUCACCUAAUCUCCAGCCCCGACCUACCUGAGAUUCCCAAACUCCAGCUGGACUCCAGUUCAUCAGAGACCCUUACCUCAAGACCUUUCCCCCAGAUUUUCGUUGCAUUUUAAUAAAAUGGGGAACAAGUA